GCAGCCAGGCCUGGGGGCUGUCGCUUAGAGCUUUCGCUUGAAUAGCUUCAGAAGAUGCUUCGCAAAUCCAGGACAGCCUGAUAUCGACGUCUCUUAGCAGUAAAACAAGGCCAGUCCACUGGCAGAGUGUUGGCAGUGCCUGGGAAAAGUAAAGGGCAGUAAGACAGGAGCGGAGUGUGAAGCCCCAUGGAAGGCAGAGUGACACAAGGGGGCAGUAUGGAUGCUGCUGUAUGACCCACCCUCAGCCUGGUCAGAAUCACCAGCAGCCUUAUUUAUGGGGGACAGUUCCCCUGUGAGUAACAGGUCUUCUGUCUGGAUUUAAGCACUGAGACUGGGCGGGGCAUCCCUCGCAUACGCUGGCUGCCUCAGGCCCCCCCGGCUGAAGGUUUUACUGCUAACAGCCUCUUUGGUUAUAUACAGGUAGGUCUGCAUUGCCUGAUCUCAGAGAGCGGUCUGCAUGGUACGCUAUGGGCAGAUGCCUUUUGUGGCCCGGGCAGCGAGCCAUGUCAGUGCCAGGACAGAGCCAUUGGAAUUAGAGUAACGUACGUGUGGUAAGGAGCUGGAAGCAGACCCUUGGUAAUGGAAAUGGAAUGGUAGGUCUGUGAUGAAAAUUAUACCAAGGUUAUGAAAUCGGGUUAGCUGUAUUGG